rnacentral:rRNA from 1 species
UACGUAGGGUGCGAGCGUUAAUCGGAAUUACUGGGCGUAAAGUGUGCGCAGGUGGCCGCGCAUGUCGAGUGUGAAAUCCCCGGGCUUAACCUGGGAAUGGCAUUUGGGACUGCAAGGCUUGAGUGCGGCAGAGGAGACUGGAAUUCCUGGUGUAGCAGUGAAAUGCGUAGAUAUCAGGAGGAAUACCGAUGGCGAAGGCAGGUCUCUGGGCUGACACUGACGCUCAUGCACGAAAGCGUGGGGAGC